UACGUAGGUGGCGAGCGUUGUCCGGAUUUACUGGGCGUAAAGGAUGCGUAGGCGGAUGUUUAAGUGAGAUGUGAAAUUCCCGAGCUUAACUUGGGAGCUGCAUUUCAAACUGGAUAUCUAGAGUGCAGGAGAGGAGAAUGGAAUUCCUAGUGUAGCGGUGAAAUGCGUAGAGAUUAGGAAGAACACCAGUGGCGAAGGCGAUUCUCUGGACUGUAACUGACGCUGAGGCAUGAAAGCGUGGGUAGCAAACAGG
rnacentral:rRNA from 1 species